UGUCUCCGUGGGCCGAAGAUAAAAGCGGCGGCGGCUGCCGUGGGAACCGUGCUGUCUGGGCUCAGCUACCCCUCGCUGGUGGCGGGGGGCGCCGUGCGGAGCAGCUCCGCGGGCAGCUCCGGGUCGCUUAAGCGGCCGGGGACGUGCCCGUCCUCUUCCCUCGCAGGGCCGCGGAGACCGGAAGGCGGCAUCCGCAGCUGGCAAGGCCCGAGGGUCCGCAGCCCACCGAGCCGAGCACAGGCCAUCAAAGCCGAAUCCGAACUUGAAUUCUGUGCGGCUGAUUGCAGAGCUGGUAGGCCGACCACUUCCCGGGGGAAAUGUAAUGGGGCGGGGGUCGCUUUGGCUUGUGCUCAGAAGGUGGGAGAGGGAAUUUUCCGCCUACCCACAGCGGAGGCAGCGGGGAGGGGGGUGGGUGGCGGGGGUGGAGGGAGCGGGAUGAGCGAGGAGGCUGCUCCUGACCCUUCCCUUCCCUACCCUCCGCCGCGGCGGCGCAAUCUUGACGCCCGGAGGUCUCGGAUCGGCGACCCCCCCCCCACCCGCCCCGGUGGACAGAGAUCGGCUGUUAGCCUGGAGACGAGCUUUCUCGCGGAGGCCACCGGUUGCAGAAGCUGGAAGUGAAAUAAAGGCGCGCGCGCGCCCGUUCCUGCGCUCCUCCCCUACUGAGAUAGGAGAGUCCCCCAGCACGCCUGCACAUUAGGCUAACCCACAAAGCCUGAGCGUCUUGUUCCAUUCGGA
rnacentral:lncRNA from 1 species